rnacentral:rRNA from 1 species
CUACGGGCUGCUCCAGUGGGGAAUAUUGCACAAUGGGCGCAAGCCUGAUGCAGCCAUGCCGCGUGUAUGAAGAAGGCCUUCGGGUUGUAAAGUACUUUCAGCGGGGAGGAAGGGAGUAAAGUUAAUACCUUUGCUCAUUGACGUUACCCGCAGAAGAAGCACCGGCUAACUCCGUGCCAGCAGCCGCGGUAAUACGGAGGGUGCAAGCGUUAAUCGGAAUUACUGGGCGUAAAGCGCACGCAGGCGGUUUGUUAAGUCAGAUGUGAAAUCCCCGGGCUCAACCUGGGAACUGCAUCUGAUACUGGCAAGCUUGAGUCUCGUAGAGGGGGGUAGAAUUCCAGGUGUAGCGGUGAAAUGCGUAGAGAUCUGGAGGAGUACCGGUGGCGAAGGCGGCCCCCUGGACGAAGACUGACGCUCAGGUGCGAAAGCGUGGGGAGCAAACAGGAUUAGAUACCCUCGUAGUC